rnacentral:rRNA from 1 species
AUUGAACGCUGGCGGCAUGCUUUACACAUGCAAGUCGAACGGUAACAGGCCUUCGGGUGCUGACGAGUGGCGCACGGGUGAGUAAUGCAUCGGAACGUACCCAGAGGUGGGGGAAACGCAGCGAAAGCUGUGCUAAUACCGCAUGUGAUCUGAGGAUGAAAGCGGGGGACCGAGCAGCAAUGUUUGGCCUCGCGCCUUUGGAGCGGCCGAUGUCGGAUUAGCUAGUUGGUGGGGUAAAGGCCUACCAAGGCGACGAUCCGUAGCUGGUCUGAGAGGACGACCAGCCACACUGGGACUGAGACACGGCCCAGACUCCUACGGGAGGCAGCAGUGGGGAAUUUUGGACAAUGGGCGCAAGCCUGAUCCAGCAAUGCCGCGUGCGGGAAGAAGGCCUUCGGGUUGUAAACCGCUUUUGGCAGGAACGAAACGGUGUCCGCUAAUACCGGGCGCUAAUGACGGUACCUGCAGAAUAAGCACCGGCUAACUACGUG